rnacentral:rRNA from 1 species
CACGUAGGAGGCGAGCGUUGUCCGGAAUCAUUGGGCGUAAAGAGCGCGCAGGCGGCUUGGCAAGUCGGGUGUGAAGUCCCGGGGCUCAACCCCGGGACUGCAUUCGAUACUGUCAGGCUAGAGGUAGGUAGGGGAGAUCGGAAUUCCUGGUGUAGCGGUGAAAUGCGCAGAUAUCAGGAGGAACACCGGUGGCGAAGGCGGAUCUCUGGGCCUUACCUGACGCUCAGGCGCGAAAGCUAGGGGAGCGAACAGG